GACGAACGCUGGCGGCGUGCUUAACACAUGCAAGUCGAACGGAAAGGCCCUGCUUUUGUGGGGUGCUCGAGUGGCGAACGGGUGAGUAACACGUGAGUAACCUGCCCUUGACUUUGGGAUAACUUCAGGAAACUGGGGCUAAUACCGGAUAGGAGCUCCUGCUGCAUGGUGGGGGUUGGAAAGUUUCGGCGGUUGGGGAUGGACUCGCGGCUUAUCAGCUUGUUGGUGGGGUAGUGGCUUACCAAGGCUUUGACGGGUAGCCGGCCUGAGAGGGUGACCGGCCACAUUGGGACUGAGAUACGGCCCAGUCUCCUACGGGAGGCAGCAGUGGGGAAUAUUGCACAAUGGGCGGAAGCCUGAUGCAGCGACGCCGCGUGCGGGAUGACGGCCUUCGGGUUGUAAACCGCUUUCGCCUGUGACGAAGCGUGAGUGACGGUUAUGGGUAAAGAAGCACCGGCUAACUACGUG
rnacentral:rRNA from 1 species